AUUUUGAUGGCUGAUAAUAGGCAGUAGAUUGUAAAUCUAUUUAUGGGUUACUCCCUCUUGCUA
rnacentral:tRNA from 1 species